ACUCCUACGGGAGGCAGCAGUGGGGAAUAUUGCACAAUGGGGGCAAGCCUGAUGCAGCAACGCCGCGUGAGGGACGACGGCCUUCGGGUUGUAAACCUCUUUUAGUAGGGAAGAAGCGAAAGUGACGGUACCUGCAGAAAAAGCACCGGCUAACUACGUGCCAGCAGCCGCGGUAAUACGUAAGGUGCAAGCGUUAUCCGGAAUUAUUGGGCGUAAAGAGCUCGUAGGCGGUUUGUCGCGUCUGCUGUGAAAACUGGAGGCUCAACCUCCAGCCUGCAGUGGGUACGGGCAGACUAGAGUGCGGUAGGGGAGAUUGGAAUUCCUGGUGUAGCGGUGGAAUGCGCAGAUAUCAGGAGGAACACCGAUGGCGAAGGCAGAUCUCUGGGCCGUAACUGACGCUGAGGAGCGAAAGCAUGGGGAGCGAACAGGAUUAGAUACCCUGGUAGUCCAUGCCGUAAACGUUGGGAACUAGAUGUAGGGGCCAUUCCACGGCUUCUGUGUCGCAGCUAACGCAUUAAGUUCCCCGCCUGGGGAGUACGGCCGCAAGGCUAAAACUCAAAGGAAUUGACGGGGGCCCGCACAAGCGGCGGAGCAUGCGGAUUAAUUCGAUGCAACGCGAAGAACCUUACCAAGGCUUGACAUAUACCGGAAAAGUUCAGAAAUGUUCUCCCCGCAAGGCCGGUAUACAGGUGGUGCAUGGUUGUCGUCAGCUCGUGUCGUGAGAUGUUGGGUUAAGUCCCGCAACGAGCGCAACCCUCGUUCUAUGUUGCCAGCACGUAAUGGUGGGAACUCAUAGGAGACUGCCGGGGUCAACUCGGA
rnacentral:rRNA from 1 species